CCUACGGGUGGCUGCAGUGGGGAAUAUUGCACAAUGGGGGAAACCCUGAUGCAGCGACGCCGCGUGGGUGACGAAGUAUUUCGGUAUGUAAAGCCCUAUCAGCAGGGAAGAAGAUGACAGUACCUGACUAAGAAGCCCCGGCUAACUACGUGCCAGCAGCCGCGGUAAUACAUAGGGGGCAAGCGUUAUCCGGAAUUAUUGGGUGUAAAGGGUGCGUAGACGGAAGAACAAGUUGGUUGUGAAAUCCCUCGGCUCAACUGAGGAACUGCAACCAAAACUAUUCUCCUUGAGUGUCGGAGAGGAAAGUGGAAUUCCUAGUGUAGCGGUGAAAUGCGUAGAUAUUAGGAGGAACACCAGUGGCGAAGGCGACUUUCUGGACGAUAACUGACGUUGAGGCACGAAAGUGUGGGGAGCAAACAGGAUUAGAUACCCGAGUAGUC
rnacentral:rRNA from 1 species